GUGUAGCGAUGUGUGUGGGGUUCGGAGCGGCGCCGGCACAGCCGAAGGGAGCGGGCGAGCGGCGACGGCGGCGGCGGGCACAGGUGCGGCUCCGGCUCACGGCGGGGACGCGGCGGAGGCGGCGGGAGGCCAGAGGCGCUCACCCUCCUGGGAGCCCGACGGCGGCGACAGGGGCGAUUAAUUAAAAGAAGAAUGAACUAUAAUCCUUGAAGAUAACUGGGCAAUUUUUUAAGUCGGAGGCUGUUCUUACUGGUGUGAGGAUUUACACACGUCUUCAGUUUUUCAGCACAGACCAGCAUACCAUCAUUUUUAGAGGAAGUACUCCCUCUGCCCUCCUUUUUGGUUUCCUUGGUGGUAAAGAUUAAAUUUGGUUGCAUCAUUUUGACUUGUGUUUGAGUCUAGAUUUUAUGGCACAAGGAAUGGCAUAAACUUUUCAUGUGUUUUGCUUAAAACAAACCAGACCAUUGCAUUGACCCUGGACAUCUUUAAUUGAGAAAUUGGUAACUUUAUUUUAAUAUGUAUAUCUGAAGAAUUCAAGAAAACAAAGCCAU
rnacentral:sRNA from 1 species